CUUUUGUAUUACUAGUUUGUUCUUGCGUGUUUCUCUUCAUACCUCCCUGACUAAUUCAACUGUUAUUCUCACUAGUUAUCCUUCCUCCAGAGGAUUCUUCCAUCCAUUCCUUCAUACUGUUACGUCAUCUAUUUGCUUGCCCGUGUUUAAGUGAAAUGAGUACUUGGCUUCUCUGGUGGCUCAGAUGGUAAAGAAUCUGCCUACAUUGUGGAAGACCUGGGUUCGAUCCUUGGGUUGUGAAGAUCCUCUGCAGAAGGAACCAGCUACUCACUCCAGUAUUCUGGCCUGGAGAAUUCCAUGGACUGUAUAGUCCAUCGGGUUGCAAAGAGUGGGACACGACUGAGCAACUUUCAGUGAAGUUCCUGACCUGAUCAAUUUGCGUGCCAAGUCGCUUCAGUUGUGUUUGACUCUUUGUGACCCCAUGGAAUGAGGCCUGCCAGCCUCCUCUGUCUAUGGGAUUUUCCAGGCAAGAAUACUGGAGUGGGCUGCCGUGACCUCCGCCAGGGGAUCCUCCCCACCCAGGGAUCGAACCUUUAUCUCUUACUCUCAAGCAUUGUGGCAGGCGGGUUCUUUACCACUAGCGCCAUCUGGGAAGCCCAGCCUGCUCAGUUUGCUCUGCUCAAUUCUACUUCCGCAGUCUCUCCUUAAGGUGGACUUUGCCCUGGAAGAAAGCUUUGGUCACUUAGAGUUGAGAGUUCAUGGGGCUCACACUACUCCAGCCGUCCUGCUCUUUCUUGGGACUUGGAGUCUGCAAAGCUCCUCAGAUUGGC
ensembl:lncRNA